GACGAACGCUGGCGGCGUGCUUAACACAUGCAAGUCGAACGGAAAGGCCCUGCUUUUGUGGGGUGCUCGAGUGGCGAACGGGUGAGUAACACGUGAGUAUCCUGCCCUUGUCUUUGGGAUAACUUCAGGAAACUGGGGCUAUUACCGGAUAGGAUCUCCUGCUGCAUGGUGGGGGUUGGUAAGUUUCGGCGGUUGGGGAUGGACUCGCGGCUUAUCAGCUUGUUGGUGGGGUAGUGGCUUACCAAGGCUUUGACGGGUAGCCGGCCUGAGAGGGUGACCGGCCACAAUGGGACUGAGAUACGGCCCAGACUGCUACGGGAGGCAGCAGUGGGGAAUAUUGCGCAAUGGGCGGGAGCCUGAUGCAGAAACGCCGCGUGCGGGAUGACGGCCUUCGGGUUAUAAACCGCUUUCGCCUGUGACGAAGCGUGAGUGACGGUAAUGGGUAAAGAAGCACCGGCUAACUACGUG
rnacentral:rRNA from 1 species